GGACAACCCUCCCUGCCCCUGCCCAGAGGAAGAGAGUAACAUGAAUACAAGUCGAAGCAUGGGCUGCGUUUCCAUCUUUCCCCUGCACAUGUAGACUCCUUAACAGAAAUAUGCCCUCAAGGAAUGACCAAAAGGGGAGGAGAAUGAUCCACAGACGACAGCAGCAUGCAGACCAGGAUUCCUAGAGGAAGCAAGGCCCUAAAGAUCAAACCCUGCAUAGAUGUUAGCUACCAUGAUAACGUCAUUGAUGGAAGACAGGAAAGAGAAUGGAAAGAAAUGAAGACCUGGAAAGAAGGGUCCCACUUAAGGAAAGCCAGAGAUUCCACAAGGCUUAUUGGACACGUGUACUCAGAAGAGCACUGGAAAUCCUUAGACCUGUUCUUCAGACCUUAAAGCAAGUCUCCCAGUACAACACAAGUGAAGAUAAUUCAUAAAAGCACUGUUUUCAGAGUUUGAGGGACAAGGAGAAAAAGCAUUGAGGGCAUGGUACUAAAUCUUGCCAAGAGCUUUCAGUACGUGCACCUCACAUGUUGAGAGGCCGUGAGAUGUCAUCAUGGUGACAAGACAUGGCAUCUCCUCAGAAAUCUGAAUGUCAGUCAGCAAACGUCUCCUCCUUCCAGCUGCAGUCUUCCCUUCUUCUGUUCCUCCCCUACUCACAGAACCCUCAGUUCUUAACUAAAUCUCUUGUCCUGUGUUAUUUAUAGUAGCUCUAUUUUUUUCUGAAUGAAUUCAGGCCAACACGAUAACUCUAUACAUUACUUAGAUCAUCCAAGACAGCCCCAAUUUCAUCAAUAAAUCUUAUAGUUCCCUGAAAAAUCCCAGCAUUCCAACAGUGUUACUAGGCAUAAAGAAAAACAAAACAAAACAAGCCUGAUGCCAAGUGCUGGUGAGAAUAGGGAAAUUCACUUUUGGUAAAAAUGGAAAAUAGUGCAGCUACUUUGGAAUGCAGUUUGGUAGAUUACAAGGUACAUAUUAACCUUACAAAGGUAAAUAUUGUCUUUCCAUACAAUUAACCAGUUGUACUCUUUGGUAUUUACCCAAUUGAACUGAAAACUUAGGUC